UAGAAGCUAAGCAUGCCUUAUUCAAAAACAAAGCCAAAUGUGUACAUAAUGCUAAAAAUCUCAUUUUCACUUUAGCGAAUUGGUAUCAAGUGUACCAAACUUAUGAAAUGAUGCAGCCUUUGAUUAAACAAGUAAUAACUGGACCUCGGAAGUUAGUCUUGACAGAGACUUCAAGAUUUCAGAACUUAUAUCCUGAAAAACCAUCAAUUUUGUUAGUUCCUUGGCUUAAAUAUAAUGAUUCGAGAACCUUAUUUCGCCUAACGUUUAUCACAGCCACGUCUCAAAAGAAGAAAUUUUCAUAGUAGUCAAGCAGAAUAUUGGUGAUUUGCAUUGAAUAAUAGACUUUUUGUGAAGAUAAAUGUUUUAAAAUCAAUAAUUUUGGCUGGGACGUAACAAUGAGCAUUGUCGGCAGAGAUUGUAGAAAUUACAUAAGAGGCAUUUGUGUAGAACACCCAGACUGUUUAGAAUAUGAAUAUUUACCAGAUGUUGGGCCAAAUUGUAUUUUUUGUGGAUGUCUUUCGGUCAAUCAUAAAUUAAUUGGUAACAAAUUUUAUUUUACUUAACUUUAUACUUUUUCACACUAUACAUAUAACCUGCUAUUUGAAAUACAAUU